AGAGUUUGAUCCUGGCUCAGAUUGAACGCUGGCGGCAUGCUUUACACAUGCAAGUCGAACGGCAGCGGGCCUUCGGGUGCCGGCGAGUGGCGAACGGGUGAGUAAUGCAUCGGAACGUGCCAUUGGGUGGGGGAUAACGUAGCGAAAGUUACGCUAAUACCGCAUAUUCUGUGAGCAGGAAAGCAGGGGACCGCAAGGCCUUGCGCUCUUUGAGCGGCCGAUGUCAGAUUAGCUAGUUGGUGAGGUAAAGGCUUACCAAGGCGACGAUCUGUAGCGGGUCUGAGAGGAUGAUCCGCCACACUGGAACUGAGACACGGUCCAGACUCCUACGGGAGGCAGCAGUGGGGAAUUUUGGACAAUGGGCGCAAGCCUGAUCCAGCCAUGCCGCGUGAGUGAAGAAGGCCUUCGGGUUGUAAAGCUCUUUCGGCCGGGAAGAAAUCGCAUGGGUUAAUACCCUGUGUGGAUGACGGUACCGGAAUAAGAAGCACCGGCUAACUACGUG
rnacentral:rRNA from 1 species